rnacentral:rRNA from 1 species
UACGUAGGGUGCAAGCGUUGUCCGGAAUUAUUGGGCGUAAAGAGCUCGUAGGCGGUUCGUCGCGUCGGCUGUGAAAUCCCGAGGCUCAACCUCGGGUCUGCAGUCGAUACGGGCGGACUGGAGUUCGGCAGGGGAGAAUGGAAUUCCCGGUGUAGCGGUGAAAUGCGCAGAUAUCGGGAAGAACACCCGUGGCGAAGGCGGUUCUCUGGGGACGGUACUGACGCUGAGACGCGAAAGCGUGGGGAGCGAACAGG